GAUGAACGCUAGCUACAGGCUUAACACAUGCAAGUCGAGCGAUUCUCUUCGGAGAAGAGCGGCGGACGGGUGAGUAACGCGUGGGUAACCUGCCCUGUACACACGGAUAACAUACCGAAAGGUAUGCUAAUACGAGAUAACAUACUUUUAUCGCAUGGUAGAAGUAUCAAAGCUCCGGCGGUACAGGAUGGACCCGCGUCUGAUUAGCUAGUUGGUAAGGUAACGGCUUACCAAGGCGACGAUCAGUAGCCGACCUGAGAGGGUGAUCGGCCACAUUGGAACUGAGACACGGUCCAA
rnacentral:rRNA from 1 species